rnacentral:rRNA from 1 species
UACGUAGGGUGCAAGCGUUGUCCGGAAUUAUUGGGCGUAAAGAGCUCGUAGGCGGCUUGUCGCGUCGAAUGUGAAAUCUCAGGGCUCAACUCUGACAUUGCAUUCGAUACGGGCAGGCUAGAGUUCGGUAGGGGGGACUGGAAUUCCUGGUGUAGCGGUGAAAUGCGCAGAUAUCAGGAGGAACACCGAUGGCGAAGGCAGGUCUCUGGGCAUUAACUGACGCUGAGGAGCGAAAGCAUGGGGAGCGAACAGG